AGUGAACGCUGGCGGUAGGCCUAACACAUGCAAGUCGAACGGCAGCACAGUAAGAGCUUGCUCUUACGGGUGGCGAGUGGCGGACGGGUGAGGAAUACAUCGGAAUCUACUUUUUCGUGGGGGAUAACGUAGGGAAACUUACGCUAAUACCGCAUACGACCUACGGGUGGAAGCAGGGGAUCUUCGGACCUUGCGCGAUUGAAUGAGCCGAUGUCGGAUUAGCUAGUUGGCGGGGUAAAGGCCCACCAAGGCGACGAUCCGUAGCUGGUCUGAGAGGAUGAUCAGCCACACUGGAACUGAGACACGGUCCAGACUCCUACGGGAGGCAGCAGUGGGGAAUAUUGGACAAUGGGCGCAAGCCUGAUCCAGCCAUACCGCGUGGGUGAAGAAGGCCUUCGGGUUGUAAAGCCCUUUUGUUGGGAAAGAAAAGCAGCAGGUUAAUACCCCGCUGUUCUGACGGUACCCAAAGAAGAAGCACCGGCUAACUUCGUG
rnacentral:rRNA from 1 species